UAAGGAAUAUUGGUCAAUGGACGCAAGUCUGAACCAGCCAUGCCGCGUGGAGGAUUAAGGCCCUCUGGGUUGUAAACUCCUUUUAUCUGGGAAGAAAUGUACUUUUUCUUGAGUACUUGACGGUACCAGAGGAAUAAGCACCGGCUAACUCCGUGCCAGCAGCCGCGGUAAUACGGAGGGUGCAAGCGUUAUCCGGAUUCACUGGGUUUAAAGGGUGCGUAGGUGGGCAGGUAAGUCAGUGGUGAAAUCUCCGGGCUUAACCCGGAAACUGCCGUUGAUACUAUUUGUCUUGAAUAUUGUGGAGGUAAGCGGAAUAUGUCAUGUAGCGGUGAAAUGCUUAGAUAUGACAUAGAACACCAAUUGCGAAGGCAGCUUACUACACAAUCAUUGACGCUGAGGCACGAAAGCGUGGGGAUCAA
rnacentral:rRNA from 1 species